rnacentral:rRNA from 1 species
GAUGAACGCUGGCGGUGUGCCUAAUACAUGCAAGUCGAGCGAACAGACGAGGAGCUUACUCCUCUGACGUUAGCGGCGGACGGGUGAGUAACACGUGGAUAACCUACCUAUAAGACUGGGAUAACUUCGGGAAACCGGAGCUAAUACCGGAUAACAUGUUGAACCGCAUGGUUCAACAGUGAAAGACGGUCUUGCUGUCACUUAUAGAUGGAUCCGCGUCGCAUUAGCUAGUUGGUAAGGUAACGGCUUACCAAGGCAACGAUGCGUAGCCGACCUGAGAAGGUGAUCGGCCACACUGGAACUGAGACACGGUCCAGACUCCUACGGGAGGCAGCAGUAGGGAAUCUUCCGCAAUGGGCGAAAGCCUGACGGAGCAACGCCGCGUGAGUGAAGAAGGUCUUCGGAUCGUAAAACUCUGUUAUUAGGGAAGAACAAAUGUGUAAGUAACUAUGCACGUCUUGACGGUACCUAAUCAGAAAGCCACGGCUAACUACGUG